rnacentral:rRNA from 1 species
GAAACCAACAGGGAUUGCCCUAGUAACGGCGAGUGAAGCGGCAACAGCUCAAAUUUGAAAUCUGGCGCAAGCCCGAGUUGUAAUUUGUAGAGGAUGCUUCUGGGCAGCGGCCGUUCUAAGUUCCUUGGAACAGGACGUCAUAGAGGGUGAGAAUCCCGUAUGUGACCGGCGCGCACCCUCCACGUAGCUCCUUCGACGAGUCGAGUUGUUUGGGAAUGCAGCUCUAAAUGGGAGGUAAAUUUCUUCUAAAGCUAAAUACCGGCCAGAGACCGAUAGCGCACAAGUAGAGUGAUCGAAAGAUGAAAAGCACUUUGGAAAGAGAGUUAAAAAGCACGUGAAAUUGUUGAAAGGGAAGCGCUUGCAACCAGACUUCGCGGCGGUGUUCCGCCGGUCUUUUGACCGGUCUACUCGCCGCCGCGAGGCCAACAUCGUCUGGGGCCGCCGGAUAAGACCGUAGGAAUGUGGCUCCCUCGGGAGUGUUAUAGCCUGCGGUGAUGCGGCGUGUCCCGGGCGAGGUCCGCGCUUCGGCAAGGAUGUUGGCGUAAUGGUUGCCAGCGGCCCGUCUUGAAACACGGACCAAGGAGUCUAACAUCUAUGCGAGUGUUCGGGUGUCAAACCCCUACGCGUAAUGAAAGUGAACGGAGGUGGGAGCUUCGGCGCACCAUCGACCGAUCCUGAUGUCCUCGGAUGGAUUUGAGUAAGAGCAUAGCUGUUGGGACCCGAAAGAUGGUGAACUAUGCCUGAAUAGGGUGAAGCCAGAGGAAACUCUGGUGGAGGCUCGCAGCGGUUCUGACGUGCAAAUCGAUCGUCAAAUUUGGGUAUAGGGGCGAAAGACUAAUCGAACCAUCUAGUAGCUGGUUCCUGCCG